rnacentral:lncRNA from 1 species
CACAUUGAGAAUUGAACUUUCCCAAUUACCAGUUUCUUUCUAGACUAGUCAAGUUCUUUUCAGUUUCACAAAUAAAUUCAUAGGUGCAGAAAAGGAAAGCCCUGGCAGCUUUGGCUUCAACAAUUUGCUCUUUCAUAAAUUUCAUAUAUAUUCAGGUGCCUUCAGAACUACAAGCUCUUUCUUUGAUGUUCCACCGAUGAACCCAAUUUCUCAUUGUUUAUGUUUCAAAUGCCAUUUUCAAGAAAAGGGGUCUUCCAGAAGUGGAUUUUAAUUGUUGGGUUUCUUUUGGUUUUGUCUAAUAGUUGAAGGAAAGAACAUGGGUCGUCCUCACCACCAUCACCAUGGAGAUGGAGACAGCCCUUAUGAUGAUCCAUUGUUAUCGUGUUGUUGCUGCCCCUGUUAUUUAGUCUCUUCAACUUUCAGAAGAAUCGGGAGAUGCAUCUUUGCGGCUUGUUUCCCUCUUCUGCAGUGUUUUGGAUUGGAUAACUGCCGUCACCACCACGUACAUCUUCACUGAGAGCAUCAAUUUAUGUCUAAGUAUUCUCCUGCCUUUUGUUCUACUUGUGUUGGCUCAAUUUAG